rnacentral:rRNA from 1 species
UUACGGGGUGCAGCAGGCGCGAAACCUCUACAAUAGGCGAAAGCCUGACAGGGCUACUCUGAGUGACUUUCGCUAAGAAAGUCUUUGACACCUCUAAAAAUGGUGUAGAAUAAGGGGUGGGCAAGUCUGGUGUCAGCCGCCGCGGUAAUACCAGCACCCCGAGUGGUCGGGACGAUUAUUGGGCCUAAAGCAUCCGUAGCCGGUUCUACAAGUCUUCCGUUAAAUCCACCUGCUUAACAGAUGGGCUGCGGAAGAUACUAUAGAGCUAGGAGGCGGGAGAGGCAAGCGGUACUCGAUGGGUAGGGGUAAAAUCCGUUGAUCCAUUGAAGACCACCAGUGGCGAAGGCGGCUUGCCAGAACGCGCUCGACGGUGAGGGAUGAAAGCUGGGGGAGCAAACCGGAUUAGAUACCCGGGUAGUCCCAGCUGUAAACGAUGCAGACUCGGUGAUGAGUCGGCUUAUUGCUAACUCAGUGCCGCAGGGAAGCCGUUAAGUUUGCCGCCUGGGGAGUACGGUCGCAAGACUGAGACUUAAAGGAAUUGGCGGGGGAGCACAAUCACU